UCUCAUGCAGCAGAAUAUAUGCCGGUUCCAGGGACUUCCUCUUCAUCAUCGUUCAUCAUUUCAUCGACGCCUGCUCCUAGGAGCUCCCACCAGGGGAUGGCCACGGCAGAAGAGCUUCCAACUUUCUCUAUCCAGACACUCCCUCCUUGCUUGCUCAAAGUUUCUCAAAGAUCUUUCCCCCCUCUCCCUAAUGUACUCUUGCACCCUAUCCCUCCAUUUCACUGGAGGUAUUCCUCUAGCAUUCCCUCCCUCUAUCUCACUCACAUACACCCUUCUGGUCAUCUUACUCUCCUCCAUUCACUCCAUGUGGCCAAACCACUUUAAGGUCUGUCGCUUCACUUCUUCCACCACUCCACACUUCUUCCCUUCACCCCUGUGACACAUUCCAAAAUGCUCGUACACACUUUCAUUACUCAUUCCAUCCAUUCUACUCACACCACAAGCACUCCUCAAAUAACUCAUUUCCACUGCCUGCACUCUAGACCUCUGACUUUCAUUCCAGGCCCAUGUUUCACUUGCAUAUGUGAGGGUUGGUACUAUUAUUGUAUUUCUCAAAUCCCCCUUUACUUCCAUGCUCACACUUCUGCCAUUCAUGAUUCAUCCCAAAGACCCUACCACCCUUCUUCCUUGCAAUGCCCUUUCUCUUAUCUCUCCCUCCAUACCACCAUGCUUACGCAUAACUGAUCCAAGAGCUCUCACGGGCACGUCCACCUCGACCACGACCAUGGACCCUAGGCCCUAGGAGGAAAAGACAACAAGGAAAGAACGAGGACAACAACAACACACUCAGCUUCCACAAAGGUUGGGGCCGCCUCACCUGCAGGGCUGGACAGCAGCAUGAGUGGCCAGGACAAGCAGGAGCAGACUGCUGCAGGGGGCAGGAGGGUCAGUGGUCACCAGAUGAAGCAACUUGGUGCUGGCAACUCCAGCAACAAAGGAGAGAGGAAGUUUGUGUUUCUGGAGUGUGGAAAAGAAUUCACCUCAAGGGAAGGCCUCAGAUAUCACACCCUUACACACACUGGUGUGAAGAACUAUGAAUGUAAGGAAUGUGGGAAAAA